rnacentral:pre_miRNA from 1 species
GUAAUACUCCCUCUGUCCCAAAUUUCUUGUCUUAGAUUUGUCUAGAUACGGAUGUAUCUAAUACUAAAAUGUGACUUGAUACAUCUAUAUCUAGACAAAUCUAAGACAAGAAUUUUGGGAUGGAGGGAGUAUGUU